UCAUCUAAUCUAUGCUAACUAUCUAUUACUGAUCAUGAUCCAAAAAUAAAUCUAUCCUCUCACUUUGCAGGAAAACAUUAAGUACUAAAAAUUAAAUAUUUUUUAGUCUAGCAAACUAUACAGUAUAUGAGUGAUCUGUAAAUCUCAUGUAGGCACCAUCCUUGAAUACCUAAACUGAUGCAAGAUACUCUUCAAUCCUACAUCUACAUCAUCAAGUGGUCCUCCUGACAGAAUCAUGAAUGCUAUUUUGACUUAGACCAAUUAAUGACAGCAUGUUGCAUACUAACCACAAUUUAGCUUCAGCGAAUCUUGCUAGCUAUAUCCAUCACAAAAAGGUAGAAGUACCAUCCAUCACCC
rnacentral:lncRNA from 1 species